UACGUAGGGUGCAAGCGUUGUCCGGAAUUAUUGGGCGUAAAGAGCUCGUAGGCGGUUUGUCGCGUCUGCUGUGAAAACUGGAGGCUCAACCUCCAGCCUGCAGUGGGUACGGGCAGACUAGAGUGCGGUAGGGGAGAUUGGAAUUCCUGGUGUAGCGGUGGAAUGCGCAGAUAUCAGGAGGAACACCGAUGGCGAAGGCAGAUCUCUGGGCCGUAACUGACGCUGAGGAACGAAAGCGUGGGGAGCGAACAGG
rnacentral:rRNA from 1 species